AUUAGGUUAACCUAUAGACCUGGGCUCAAACUGCUCAGCCAAAUUUGGUCUUGACUUAAUCAAUUCAUAUCAUAUAUAAAUCAAUUUGAUCAACUACAACUAAAUUCAAUUUUGAGUCCCUUUGACCUAAUCCCAAUAAACUCUUAAUUAGGUUCAAUCAACUACUCAAAAUUAAAAAAGAUUCUAAUUUGAUCUAAUCAAUGAUCCUAGUUGUAGUUUAGUCUCUAAACCUAAUUUGUUCAACCCAUACCCAA
rnacentral:lncRNA from 1 species